ensembl:lncRNA
GCUCACGCUGAUGAGCGCGUCGGUGGGCAUUCGCAAUGUGGUCGCUCGGUGGUUGUCUCGGCAUUCGAAGGACGUGUGUCAGAGAACGCCGCGCGCCUUCGGAAGUCUAACCGUGGCAGACAUGAAUGCAUGCGCGCGUGUGUGUGUGUGUGUGAGCAGCUGAAAGUGAGGAAGUGUCCGGGGGUCUUUCUAGUCGUCGCGGGUGACGAGUUGUCCUAAUCACCUGGCAUCCCUGCUGUCAAAGGAUGUCAAAGUUUAUGUUCAGCUCUUGAUCAUUCAAUCGGGAGCUGGUAUCUAAACUGUGAUGACUCAGUGAUUUCCAUUGCGGGUUUCUCUGUUGCUGUGCGACCCCGGGAGGCCUCGGCCGGUCGUUCGUCUGACUACUUGUGAAGCGGAAUUCUAUUUGACGUUCAUGCUCCGGCACAGAGCUGGAUCCAAAGACAACCCUAAUAGUGGACAUUAAUGCCUAGUGAACUGCAGGCAAAGGUAAUCCGGAUUUUCCAUCUGAUGUGACAUGCUGGGGGAGUGCGGUGAGUAUCAUGCAUGCUUGUGUGUUAGCCCGAGAGAGACAUGUGUGUGUGUGUGUGUGUGUGUGUGUGUGUCCGGCUGCCUGCCCUCAGGAGAUUUUUGGCCAAUAGCCCGACAAAACCAAUGGUUCCUGUACAAAGUUGGACUAACUCCCACUGGAGAGCUGAGGACCAGCUGGGGCCCCUUCUAAUAAGGAAGUGGUACUUUAUUCCUUCACCCCCUACUGACGCACACACACACAUACGUAAUAGCAACAGCGUGGCCUUGUCCCUGCACCGGGUCUCAGACCUAGAUACAUGUCAGCAGCUGCAUUCAUCACCGCCCAGCUCCAGCAGCGAUUGCUGGUAUGUGAGAAACACAGCCGGGGCCUAAAGGCUUUUCUCCGGAUUAAAGGGGCUUCAGACGCGCCUCUUCUUCGUGGGCCGCACUGCGCAGGUUCCUGAUGUGUGAUGGUGGCCGUGGCCGGCUGUGACGGGCGUUGCCGAUCGCCUCUCGUGUCCAAUUAGAACCCACGGGUGACUGACCCGACUGCAGCCCGCGGAGCAGCGUACCGUCGGCAGCAGCAGCCUCAGGACAUUCUAGACCCCAGCCUCCAUCACACAUCGAGCCCCCCCCCCCUCUUGUCCCCCCCAAGUCCUCCCAACUCCUUUUUUUUAUACUGUUACAUACUCAUGAUUUACCGGCAGCGCUUUGGCUACACCUCCUACGACACCUCCGUGAAAGGUAGCGGGGCGUGCGCGACAAAGCCGCCAAGGCCUCUCGCUGCGCACGUGUUCAUUGCGGCCGCGAGGGCGGCGCCGGCACGUUUCGCGCGGCGUACAGAGGUGGUGUUCCGGAGCGCCGCCGGGUAAUGUUAUUAUACGACUAUAAUUAUUACUAUUCUGUAUAUCGUUCAUAUUAAUGUUAUUAUGACUAUUAGAUACAUGUUGAAGCAUGACUUUGCAAAAAAGAAAAGUGAGAAGAAAAAAAAAACAAGCAACGCUGUACAUUUCUAGAUAUUUUAAAGAAAUACAAAAAGGUAUUUUUGUAAUCGAGACUGUUUGAAAUGGUUCUGUUCGAUCGGUUCGUGUUGUGACGAAGCGUGUGAGGAGCUCUCACACUUUAUAAUUCUUUUUUCUUUUCAAUGCUUCCUGUUUUUUUUGCCAUUAUAAAGUCGCCCCUGCUGUGCCAAAGCAGUCCUGUGGGUUUUCUCUUGUCUGUUCUACGUACCGUGGGCUUUUAGGGUCGCUGGUGUGCGUCUUUGCGUGGUGUCUUCACCUCACGAAGCAAACAUAUUGGUCCUUUGUCUGAAAUCGUCGUGAGAGAGAAACACACCUGAUCUCGCCCGUCAGCUUCGGCGGAGGUAAUCAGAUGUGUUGAGAGAGGCAGCGACAGCAACGAGGCAUCGCUGUGAAAGUAGAGCUACACCAGAGACUGCAAAACACCGCGAACUGAGCCCUGCUAAAAUAAGGAAUUUGCUCCUUCUCUUGUCUAGCGGGAGGACAGCGGCACAGUACGGAGAAACAAAAGACCAAAGGCAUUUUUCUUUUACACUGGAGAGCUAUCUAGGCUAGUGGAAUUAUUCCGUUUUUGACUGCUUUGUAGUCCUCAGUCUGAUUUCUUAUGAAGUACGACUUUGUUUUUGCUGCAUGUCUCUUUUGGUGUCACUCCAAAAGAGCCACUCUGCACCUGAAAGGAUGUUCACUUUAAGCAAUUUGUCUCUUUUGUCUAUUUUUAGGGAGCCAACGCGAAUCAUCUUGCUUUCGUAAAUUUACUGAAGAUUGGGAGUGUUAAAAAAAAAAACUAAAAACUUUUGUAAUCGUGUGUAUUCUGGGCCUGCAAUAACGUCUUUGCUGUUUGACAUAUCAUCGAGUGAUCUCAUUCCUCUGACGAUUUUGACGCCAAAACCACCAUUUAUGUCGCAUUUUUACGAAAAACAAACAGUGACUCUUGUACUUUUCUGAUGAGGCCAAGUCACACUUCAGUGACGUGACGAUCAAAAACAGAAAAACCACAAGAAAUACAAUCUUCCCCCGCAAAGUUUAGCCCAGGUGUGUACAAUCAUAUUGGAGUGGUGAAAUCAUAUAGUCAGUGUUUGUAAUGAAUAAUAAUAAUAAUAAUAUGCACAUCAUGUCAACUGAUUUUCUGGAGCAGUUUCUGCUUUACAGACAUUUUUUUAAAGCCAAGUGUGGCACCAAAUUUAUUAGAACAAGUAUUUAUAAGAUGUGUGUGUGUGUGUGUGUGCGUGUGCGUGUGGGCGUGUGUGUGUUUUUAUGGGUAUCAUGUUUUUAAAGUUAGAAGAUGCCCACCAUAUAAUUCAUUGUAAGUAUUAUUGUACGUUUAAUUGUAUAUUAAUUUUGGCGGUUUUCUAGAGCUUCUUUUGUGUGUUUGUAUCUGAUAUAUGAAUACUGUUUUACCUGCAUAAUUCACUGUGAAAUCUAGAGAAAAACCUCGAACGAAUGGAUCAUUUUGUGUUUCGCCAGCAGUACGGUACAGAAGUUCCUGGAAAUGAAUAUGAUGAUCCCACCCUUUGUCAACAGUUUCAGUGUACCCUGUGCGUAACUGUGUGUUCUGUGCAUGUUCACGGCAUGUGUGUGUUCUUCUUUUCUUUUCCUUAUCGCAUACAGUACUGUUGAUAUUUAUGUACUUUAGCCGCUGUAAGGAGGAACUGUAUUUCAGUGAAUUGCAGAGGUUUGUUUGUUUGAAACCCCCCAAAAAAAGUGAUCAAAUGAGUUUUUAUGAAAAUGUUAAAUGAAGACAUUUCCGGCCAUCUGCCAUUAAAGAUUGACGUCAUCCCCGCAGUCGUGACUCCCUUAUUUCAUCUCCGUGAAUGUGAUUGUGAUGCGUUCACAUAAUUCAAAUACACAAUGAGCC